CUUCAAUUUCUGCCUAUCAACUUUCGAUGGUAGGAUAGUGGCUACCAUGGUAUCAACGGGUAACGGGGAAUUAGGGUUCUAUUCCGGAGAGGGAGCCUGAGAAACGGCUACCACAUCCAAGGAAGGCAGCAGGCGCGCAAAUUACCCAAUCCCGACACGGGGAGGUAGUGACAAUAAAUACUGAUACAGGGCUCUUUUGGGUCUUGUAAUUGGAAUGAGUACAAUUUAAAUCCCUUAACGAGGAACAAUUGGAGGGCAAGUCUGGUGCCAGCAGCCGCGGUAAUUCCAGCUCCAAUAGCGUAUAUUAAAGUUGUUGCAGUUAAAAAGCUCGUAGUUGAACCUUGGGCCUGGCUGGCGGCCGCCUCACCGCGUGUACUGGUCCGGCCGGCCUUUCCUUCUGGGGAGCGCAUGCCUUCACUGGGCGUGCGGGGAACCAGGACUUUUACUUUGAAAAAAUUAAAGGGUCAAAGAAGCCUUUGCUCGAUACAUUAGCAUGGAAUAAUAGAUAGGACGUGCGGUCUAUUUUGUUGGUUCUAAGACCCGCCGUAAUGAUUAUAAGGAUAGUCGGGGGCUCCGAUUUCAAUUGGCAAAGGUGGAAUUCUUGGAUUUUUUUGAAAAUUACUACUGCCGAAAGCUUUUCCAAGGAUGGUUUCCUUUAUUCAGUGAACAAAAAUUUGGGGGACCAAAACCAUCCGAAACCGGCGAAUUCUUAACCCUAAACCUUUUCCAAUAAGGGACCGCGAAUUUUUUAUUUUUGCUCCCGCCCGGGCCCUUACAAAAAAACCAAAACCUUUGGGUUCCGGGGGGGGGAUUUG
rnacentral:rRNA from 1 species